rnacentral:misc_RNA from 1 species
AUCCUCAAUGCUAUGAUUGGGUUCCAAAAAACCCCCCCUAAGAAAGGUAAAAAAGACAUCUCUUCCUUAUUAUGCUCCCCUGAAGAGGUGGCUGAAAAUAACGUUCAUAUUCCCUUAAGGUAACAUUCAUACUUACAAAAUAUUUCCUAGAGGGAGGAUGAUAACACUUGUAACCCUUUUGAGUGCUAGAAUAACGCACAAACACACAUUUUUGGGCCCUAGGUUCUAGUUUCUCAAUAU